rnacentral:rRNA from 1 species
UACAGAGGUCUCAAGCGUUGUUCGGAUUCAUUGGGCGUAAAGGGUGCGUAGGUGGCGAGGUUAGUCAGGUGUGAAAUCUCGGGGCUCAACCCCGAAACUGCACUUGAUACUGCCUUGCUAGAGUACUGGAGAGGAGAUUGGAAUUUACGGUGUAGCAGUGAAAUGCGUAGAGAUCGGGAGGACAUCAGUGGCGAAGGCGGCCAUCUGGGACAACACUGACGCUGAGGCACGAAAGCGUGGGUAGCAAACAGG